AUUGAACGCUGGCGGCAUGCUUUACACAUGCAAGUCGAACGGUAACAGGCCGCAAGGUGCUGACGAGUGGCGAACGGGUGAGUAAUGCAUCGGAACGUGCCCAGUCGUGGGGGAUAACUACUCGAAAGAGUAGCUAAUACCUCAUACGGUCUAUGGAUGAAAGCGGGGGACCGUAAGGCCUCGCGCGAUUGGAGCGGCCGAUGUCAGAUUAGGUAGUUGGUGGGGUAAAGGCUCACCAAGCCAACGAUCUGUAGCUGGUCUGAGAGGACGACCAGCCACACUGGGACUGAGACACGGCCCAGACUCCUACGGGAGGCAGCAGUGGGGAAUUUUGGACAAUGGGCGCAAGCCUGAUCCAGCAAUGCCGCGUGCAGGAAGAAGGCCUUCGGGUUGUAAACUGCUUUUGUACGGAACGAAACGGCUCUGGUUAAUACCCGGGGCUAAUGACGGUACCGUAAGAAUAAGCACCGGCUAACUACGUG
rnacentral:rRNA from 1 species